GCCUUCGUAGUGCAGUGGUCAGCACGAUCGACGAGUAUUCGAGAAGUCCGGGGUUCGAUUCCCGGCGAGGACA
rnacentral:tRNA from 1 species